rnacentral:lncRNA from 12 species
CAACCCUAAUCAAACGCUCCUGAACAAGCUUAUCAAUGUCUUCAAGAUCACUAGAAAGCUACAGGUGGGUGUGUUUGAUAAAGGUUGGAGCUACACUCUGAAGGAUAGUCACCUUUAUUUAUAUAGCACUUUAGACUGUGUCAAAGCAGCUUUACAGUGUCAACAGGAAAAGAGUGUGUAGAAAGUGCAAGAGGACGAUUGUAAACACUACAUUUUUCAGUUCAUCAUUUAUGCCAUCGUCCAGCUCAGUUCAGUUCUCUUCCAGUAGUAUCUGUGCAAUCAAGUCAACAAUAUGGCCAGAAAUGAAGCAUCCCCAACUAAGCAAGCCAAAGGUGACAGUGGCAAGAAACCAAAACUCCAUCGAUGACAUAAAUGGAGAGAAAAAAAAAAAAAAACUUUUUUGGGAGGGGACAGUUCUCCUUAAUUCCAGGCUGCAACUCAAGAUUGUGCAGAAGACUUGUCUGGUUCCCUGGUGCCCUGCAGGAACAAAGUUAUCCAGCCCUUCUUUAGGGAACCUAAACAACACAGAUUUGGAAUGCGUGUGGCUGCUUGCAUUAGGCUAUAUGCUUUCCAGUGCUGCAGUGUGAGGUUUGGUGAUAUCAUUUUUAAUGAAUGUUUUGUUUCCCAUUAGUUAGAUGAUGAUAAUCAUAAUAACUGAUCAUUAGACUACGACAGAUUAUUCCCAUGUUCGUUGUGCAUAGUGCCUGUGAUAUCCAUUAAAAUGCAAUUUUUGCAUCUUUUUUUUAAAAUGUUGUUGCUGUUAGAGUCUGUAUGACCUGUGUGUCUAUGGAUAUAUUUGUCUAUUAGUGUCCGGAACGAAGCUUCUCUUCCAAAAAUGAAAAUCAAAUCGAUUGAACCGGCGUCCCUGUCGACCAGUGAUGGAAAGAUUUUGUGCGUUCAAAGCAUGAGGAGGUCCAGAAAUUCUCAUCAGCUGGUUGCAAUGAAUAAACAGGAACCUGGACACUCAGUCAAGGUGUAUCACAUCUCGUAUGAUGACAAAACACCAUGCAUGGCUUUUGGCUUUGAGGUGCAAAAUACGGCUUAUUUCCCUGUUGUUACUCGCGGUGAAGAGGCCAAAUUUAAGGUUUUACCCAAAGACAUGCCGAUCACAGAAAGAACCUUUGAUGAAACAUUCUUAUUUAAGUGGGGUGAGAAAGAGAUUUCUGGAAACUUGAGGAGUCUGGAAUCAGUGGCUCUACCCAAAAAGUACCUGUGUGUUGAAAAUAGGGUCAACGUGACCAUCACAGAAGAACAGAAACCGGAUUUUAAAAUCGGUUACUCAGAUGAGAAAAAAGAUGAGAGUUGGCAGUUUCUCUUUGGACCAGGCAAAAUCCAGGAGAACGACACAAUUCCGUUCAAAAAGAUCUCCUUGCGAAGACGCAACUUAAAACGAAGAUGUUCAUGCUAUGAGGGAUCGGUGGCUCCCAAUAAACCACUGCGCUGCAACAUCAGGAAAACCAAGCAGAGGAAGAUGUGA